UCCUACGGGAGGCAGCAGUGGGGAAUCUUGCGCAAUGGCCUAACGGCUGACGCAGCAACGCCGCGUGGGGGAUGAAGGCCCUCGGGUUGUAAACCCCUUUUGCGAGGGAAGAAGAUCUGACGGUACCUCGCGAACAAGCCACGGCUAACUACGUGCCAGCAGCCGCGGUAAUACGUAGGUGGCAAGCGUUGUCCGGAUUUACUGGGCGUAAAGCGCGCGCAGGCGGACUGGUCAGUCUGGGGUGAAAUCUCACGGCUCAACCGUGAGUGGUCCCUGGAUACUGCCAGCCUUGAGGUGUCUAGAGGAGAGCGGAAUUCCCGGUGUAGUGGUGGAAUGCGUAGAUAUCGGGAAGAACACCAGUGGCGAAAGCGGCUCUCUGGGGACCACCUGACGCUGAGGCGCGAAAGCGUGGGGAGCGAACCGGAUUAGAUACCCGGGUAGUCCACGCCGUAAACGAUGAGUACUAGCUGUCGGGGGUAUCGACCCCCUCGGUAGCGCAGCUAACGCGUUAAGUACUCCGCCUGGGGACUACGACCGCAAGGUUAAAACUCAAAGGAAUUGACGGA
rnacentral:rRNA from 1 species